UAAGCCAGUGGUGAACUCCACAUACGCAUCCUUUGCUGAGGAGACGGUUAACGGAGCGAAAGCGACGUUCAACCUCAAAAGAAGCAGAGGGGGCUUAGUGGUGGGGUGACUGCGUACCUUUUGUAUAAUGGGUCAGCGACUUAUAUUCUGUAGCAAGGUUAACUGUAUAGGGGAGCCGGAGGGAAACCGAGUCUUAACCGGGCGUUAAGUUGCAGGGUAUAGACCCGAAACCCGGUGAUCUAGCCAUGGGCAGGUUGAAGGUUGGGUAACACUAACUGGAGGACCGAACCGACUAAUGUUGAAAAAUUAGCGGAUGACCUGUGGCUGGGGGUGAAAGGCCAAUCAAACCGGGAGAUAGCUGGUUCUCCCCGAAAGCUAUUUAGGU
rnacentral:rRNA from 1 species